rnacentral:rRNA from 1 species
UACGUAGGGGGCAAGCGUUGUCCGGAAUCAUUGGGCGUAAAGAGCGUGUAGGCGGCUCGGUAAGUCCGCUCUGAAAGUCCGGGGCUCAACCCCGGGAGGCGGGCGGAUACUGUCGGGCUAGAGUCCGGAAGAGGCGAGUGGAAUUCCUGGUGUAGCGGUGAAAUGCGCAGAUAUCAGGAGGAACACCAAUGGCGAAGGCAGCUCGCUGGGACGGUACUGACGCUGAGGCGCGAAAGCGUGGGGAGCAAACAGG